UACGUAGGGCGCAAGCGUUGUCCGGAAUUAUUGGGCGUAAAGAGCUCGUAGGCGGCUUGUCACGUCGGUUGUGAAAGCCCGGGGCUUAACCCCGGGUCUGCAGUCGAUACGGGCUAGCUAGAGUGUGGUAGGGGAGAUCGGAAUUCCUGGUGUAGCGGUGAAAUGCGCAGAUAUCAGGAGGAACACCGGUGGCGAAGGCGGAUCUCUGGGCCAUUACUGACGCUGAGGAGCGAAAGCGUGGGGAGCGGACAGG
rnacentral:rRNA from 1 species